AUCGCUUCUCAGCCUUUUGGCUAAGAUCAAGUGUAGGAAAGCAAUUGAUAAUAUUUAUGAAUAUAUAUUAUGAAGGUUUAUACCUUUU
ensembl:snRNA U2 U2 spliceosomal RNA